rnacentral:rRNA from 1 species
CGGGAUACCCGAGGGAAACUUCGGUUAAUACGGUAUAAGACCACACUACUGCAUGGUAGAGGGGUAAAAGGGGCAACCUGGUAUGAGAUGGACUCGCGUCGCAUUAGCUAGUUGGUGAGGUAACGGCCCACCAAGGCGACGAUGCGUAGCCGACCUGAGAGGGUGAUCGGCCACAUUGGGACUGAGAUACGGCCCAGACUCCUACGGGAGGCAGCAGUGGGGAAUAUUGGGCAAUGGAGGAAACUCUGACCCAGCAAUGCCGCGUGAAUGAAGAAGGUCUUCGGAUUGUAAAGUUCUUUAGUCAGGGAAGAAGUCAAUGACGGUACCUGAAGAAUAAGCUCCGGCUAACUACGUGCCAGCAGCCGCGGUAAUACGUAGGGAGCAAGCGUUGUUCGGAAUGACUGGGCGUAAAGGGUGCGUAGGCGGUUGUACAAGUUAGAAGUGAAAUACCCAGGGCUUAACUCGGGUGCUGCUUCUAAAACUGUAUGACUUGAGUGCAGUAGAGGUUAGUGGAAUUCCUAGUGUAGCGGUGGAAUGCGUAGAUAUUAGGAGGAACACCAGAGGCGAAGGCGGCUAACUGGACUGCAACUGACGCUGAGGCACGAAAGCGUGGGGAGCAAACAGGAUUAGAUACCCUGGUAGUCCACACUGUAAACGAUGGAUACUAGAUGUAGGAGGUAUCGACUCCUUCUGCGUCGCAG